GGUAAUGGCCGAUGUGUCCAGAAAGACAUAAGUCUAUUUGGAUAAAGAUGCCCGCAAGGGUUUUGCAUAGAGUUUGGCUCGCGUCCUAUCAGCUAGUUGGUAGGGUAAUGGCCUACCAAGGCGUUUGACGGGUAGCUGGCCUGAGAGGGUGGUCAGCCACACGGGGACUGAGACACUGCCCCGACUCCUACGGGAGGCUGCAGUCGAGGAUAUUUAGCAAUGGGCGAAAGCCUGACUAUGCGACGCCGCGUGAGGGAUGAAGGUUUUCGGAUCUUAAACCUCUUUCGAUGGAGAAGAAGUCCCGAGCAAUCGGGAUUGACGGUAUCCAGAGAAGAAGCCACGGCUAACUCCGUGCCAGCAGCCGCGGUAAUACGGAGGUGGCGAGCGUUACUCGGAUUCAUUGGGUGUAAAGGGCAGGUAGGCGUCCAAAUAAGUUUUAGGUGAAAUCCUUUGGCUUAACCAAAGAAGUGCUUAAAAUACUGUUUGGAUUGAGGAUGGGAGAGGGGAACGGAAUUCCCGGUGUAAGGGUGAAAUCUGUAGAGAUCGGGAGGAACACCAGUGGCGAAGGCGGUUCUCUGGCCCAAACCUGACGCUGAGCUGCGAAAGCUAGGGUAGCAAACAGGAUUAGAUACCCUGGUAGUCCUAGCCGUAAACGAUGAGCACUAGGUGUUGGGGGUUUAUACCUUCAGCGCCGUAAGAUAACUCGUUAAGUGCUCCACCUGGGGACUACGGCCGCAAGGCUAAAACUCAAAGGAAUUGACGGGGGCCCGCACAAGCGGUGGAACAUGUGGUUCAAUUCGACGCUACGCGAAGAACCUCACCAGGGUUUGACAUGUAGGAAGUAGGAAAUCGAAAGAUGGACGACCUGUCAAGUCAGGAACCUGCACAGGUGCUGCAUGGUUGUCGUCAGCUCGUGUCGUGAGAUGUCGGGUUAAGUCCCGCAACGAGCGCAACCAUCAUCCUUAGUUGCAACUCCGUAUCUGGCAGUAAUGCCAGGUAUGGGGGCACUCUAAGGAGACUGCCUGCGAUAAGCAGGAGGAAGGUGGAGAUGACGUCAAAUCCGUAUGGCCUUUAUACCCUGGGCUACACACGUGUUACAAUGCCUGCUACAAAGCGUUGCCAAACCGCGAGGUGGAGCUAAUCGCAAAAAAGCAGGCCCAGUUCAGAUUGGAGUCUGCAAUUCGACUCCGUGAAGACGGAAUCGCUAGUAAUGGCGGAUCAGCUACGCCGCCGUGAAUACGUUCCCGGGCCUUGUACACACCGCCCGUCAAGCGAUGGAAGCUGGGGGUACCUGAAAUUCCGCUUUAUGCGGACCUAAGGUAAAUCUGGUGACUGGCGCUAAGUCGAAACAAGGUA
rnacentral:rRNA from 1 species